AUGAACAGAGCAUGUGUGUCUUAUCAGAAGAGCUAGUCAAUUUCUGUAGGUAUAUAAUGUGUAGAGUACAUAAUAGAUAAUUUUUAAAGUGUUAAAACGCGGCAAAAAUAAUAAAUAUAGACCAAGCAGUUGCCUUAUCUGAACGGUUCAAAGACCGCCCUUUGCCACCAUUGGACACUGCUGUUUAUUGGACAGAGUACGUUGUAAAACAUAAAGGAGCCCCUUUCAUGAAGACUGCUGCUGCGGAUAUGCCUUUCUAUCAAUAUUAUUUGCUAGAUGUUCUUGGGUUAAUUUUUGUAAUUUUAGGGUUCAUUAUUUAUUUGACAGUCUAUGUGACAAGACUGAUAUUAAGAAUUAUGCUCAGGGUUUCAGCUAAAAAAGUAAAAACGCAAUAAAUAUAUAAAGACUGAAUAAA
rnacentral:misc_RNA from 1 species